GACGAACGCUGGCGGCGUGCUUAACACAUGCAAGUCGAACGGAAAGGCCCUGCUUUUGUGGGGUGCUCGAGUGGCGAACGGGUGAGUAACACGUGAGUAACCUGCCCUUGACUUUGGGAUAACUUCAGGAAACUGGGGCUAAUACCGGAUAGGAGCUCCUGCUGCAUGGUGGGGGUUGGAAAGUUUCGGCGGUUGGGGAUGGACUCGCGGCUUAUCAGCUUGUUGGUGGGGUAGUGGCUUACCAAGGCUUUGACGGGUAGCCGGCCUGAGAGGGUGACCGGCCACAUUGGGACUGAGAUACGGCCCAGACUCCUACGGGAGGCAGCAGUGGGGAAUAUUGCACAAUGGGCGGAAGCCUGAUGCAGCAACGCCGCGUGCGGGAUGACGGCCUUCGGGUUGUAAACCGCUUUCGCCUGUGACGAAGCGUGAGUGACGGUAAUGGGUAAAGAAGCACCGGCUAACUACGUGCCAGCAGCCGCGGUGAUACGUAGGGUGCGAGCGUUGUCCGGAUUUAUUGGGCGUAAAGGGCUCGUAGGUGGUUGAUCGCGUCGGAAGUGUAAUCUUGGGGCUUAACCCUGAGCGUGCUUUCGAUACGGGUUGACUUGAGGAAGGUAGGGGAGAAUGGAAUUCCUGGUGGAGCGGUGGAAUGCGCAGAUAUCAGGAGGAACACCAGUGGCGAAGGCGGUUCUCUGGGCCUUUCCUGACGCUGAGGAGCGAAGGCGUGGGGAGCGAACAGGCUUAGAUACCCUGGUAGUCCACGCUGUAAACGGUGGGUACUAGGUGUGGGGUCCAUUCCACGGGUUCCGUGCCGUAGCUAACGCUUUAAGUACCCCGCCUGGGGAGUACGGCCGCAAGGCUAAAACUCAAAGGAAUUGACGGGGCCCCGCACAAGCGGCGGAGCAUGCGGAUUAAUUCGAUGCAACGCGUAGAACCUUACCUGGGUUUGACAUGGAUCGGGAGUGCUCAGAGAUGGGUGUGCCUCUUUUGGGGUCGGUUCACAGGUGGUGCAUGCCUGUCGUCAGCUCGUGUCGUGAGAUGUUGGGUUAAGUCCCGCAACGAGCGCAACCCUUGUUCACUGUUGCCAGCACGUUAUGGUGGGGACUCAGUGGAGACCGCCGGGGUCAACUCGGAGGAAGGUGGGGGUGACGUCAAGUCAUCAUGCCCCUUAUGCCCAGGGCUUCACGCAUGCUACAAUGGCUGGUACAGAGAGUGGCGAGCCUGUGAGGGUGAGCGAAUCUCGGAAAGCCGGUCUCAGUUCGGAUUGGGGUCUGCAACUCGACCUCAUGAAGUCGGAGUCGCUAGUAAUCGCAGAUCAGCAACGCUGCGGUGAAUACGUUCCCGGGGCU
rnacentral:rRNA from 1 species